AGUGAACGCUGGCGGUAGGCCUAACACAUGCAAGUCGAACGGCAGCACAGUAAGAGCUUGCUCUUACGGGUGGCGAGUGGCGGACGGGUGAGGAAUACAUCGGAAUCUACUUUUUCGUGGGGGAUAACGUAGGGAAACUUACGCUAAUACCGCAUACGACCUACGGGUGAAAGCAGGGGAUCUUCGGACCUUGCGCGAUUGAAUGAGCCGAUGUCGGAUUAGCUAGUUGGCGGGGUAAAGACCCACCAAGGCGACGAUCCGUAGCUGGUCUGAGAGGAUGAUAAGCCACACUGGAACGUAGACACGGACCAGAGUCCUACGGGAGGCAGCAGUCGGGAAUAUUGGACAAUGGGCGCAAGCAUGAUCCAGCCAGACCGCGUGGGUGAAGAAGGCCUUCGGGUUGUAAAGCCCUUUUGUUGGGAAAGAAAAGCAGCAGGUUAAUACCCCGCUGUUCUGACGGUACCCAAAGAAUAAGCACCGGCUAACUUCGUG
rnacentral:rRNA from 1 species